rnacentral:tRNA from 1 species
GUUUCAAUAGUUUAAAUAAAACAAUGGUCUUGUAAACCAUAAAUGAAUUAUUAUUCUUGAAGCU